AUGUCUUCUAUUCAAAUGAUGUCUGUUAACAAACUUGGUUACCAAAAGCUGAGACAUGAAGUUGGGUCUGAUGAUGAAAGGGAGAGAAUCACCAUUCAGAGACCAAGGAAUUUUAUAAGGUUUCGAAAGAUUCCUAUGAGGAGAAGAUUCAAGCUGAAAAUACCAAGCUUGAGAAGACUUUGGAGGAAGAAAGCCAAAGUGGUUUCUUCCAUGAGAAUUUCAUGUGCUAAAGUUAUGAAAAGAUUUAAAGAUGGACAUGUUCAUUUUGGUGAUCUUUUUGCUGGAAACUACUUGUUCAUGCAAGUUAAUCCUUCUUCACUCAACUACCUUGGAAAAGAGAUCUCUCUUUCAAAAUUUGCUUAA